UACGGAGGGGGCUAGCGUUAUUCGGAAUUAUUGGGCGUAAAGCGCGUGUAGGCGGCUUUGCAAGUCGGGUGUGAAAGCCCUCAGCUCAACUGAGGAAGUGCGCCCGAAACUGCAGAGCUUGAGUGCCGGAGAGGGUGGCGGAAUUCCCCAAGUAGAGGUGGAAAUUCGUAAGAUAUGGGGAGGAACACCGGUGGCCGAAGGCGGG
rnacentral:rRNA from 1 species